ensembl:lncRNA
UGGAUUACCUGCGGUGACUCCGAUUCCCAGGGAGAUGCCAAGGGCCCCUCCAAAGCUCCAACUUUCUUUUUAAUCGACCUUGGCAAAGGGAAGGGAGAACUUUUAGAUGAGGAGAGAGGCCUCUUAUUUGAGGUAGGAGACUGGCCACUAGACAAUUACCGUGAAAGAAGACUCCUCGGCCUUGCAGGUUUGGGGAGGGUGAAUGGCUUGAGGUGCUCACACAGCCCAGAAUAGACCCCGAUGUUCCCCCUGGCCCUGCUCUGAAAGUCCCCGGGCUAGUGGGCAGAGGCCCCAGCCAAGCAACCCCUAUUUCCUUCCCCAAGUCUCUUGGAAAGAGUGGUGAGUCAGUUGUGGCCAUGAACUCACCCUAGGCAGUACAAAUAAGAAAACAAACAGGCCUCUAAGACAGGCAGAGGAGAGGGUGAGGGUGAGGGGAAAUGAGUUUUUCGCCAGCUGACAGAAAGGACAGCCAUCUUUUGAAGUCCUCAGGAGUGUGACUGGCGUCCUACGGCCCCUAGAAACAACCACAUCAAAGCUGCUCAAGGAAGGUGGUUUGAGGGGCAUGCUGUCUCACACAGUCACACAUAGUGACACGCUGAGUCCCCGAGGGACACACAGUGACACACUGAGGGCAUGCAACCCACCAGGCGUAAACACUCACCAUCACACAGCCAGACUAGAAGGCACACUCGAAUAACAUCACAGAUCCUACACGGUCAUGUACACCCAUGACAGCCGUCUCCUCCCAGAGGCGCACACACAGCUGCACAGACAGCCAUGUGCACACACUGACACCCAGCACUCUAGAGCCAGCCUCCGAGAGGCAUACACAGCAUCACACAGGCAAUGCCCAUUUCUACCCACAGUCACGCAAACACACAGCCACACCAUGGUCACAUGCAGCCCACAGCCACACAGCAUACAAUGCGCCGAGCCACGCCCAAGCCACAAAGAGUCACACACAUGCAGUCUCAGUUACACACUAGUCACAUGCUCACAUCCCCAUAUUGCAAACACCAUCACGGAGACCCACUCUGCUCAUGGACCCUCUGGGACUGAGACCUGGUGGGAAUUAGGCCCUGCUAUGGGAAUGGGAGUGUCCGAUCCACAGCCGCCAGCUUAACCCCUCUCUUGGCUGUACCUCCCUGGCCAUCCUCUUUUCUGAGUGCCCACUGUUUUCAUUCUUCAGGAACAGUGCUUCCAUCUGGAUCCCCCUGUGUCUCCCACAGUCACAGAAUCACUACCCGCACCUCCACACCCCGGGGCAGCUAAGCAGUGCCCUAUUGGGUUGCCUGGUAGUAGCCAGGAGUGGGACUGAGCUUCCCCAUUCCCAUUAAUUCUUGGGCACUUUCUGCGAAGGGCUUGUCUCCCUCAGAGAUUGGGAGCCACCUCUCAGCCAAGGUGGGGCCAGGACAGGUGCAUAUCAGCUCACAAGUUGAGUGGAGUUUUCACUGGAGAGAAGGGGUAAACUGGUCUGAGAAGAUAGAAAGGAUAGCUCAGCUCAGUUCAGCUCCCCUUGGAGGUCAGGAGGAGCAGAGCCCCCAAUCCCCUCCAGCAAGGACAAGCCCUUUCCCCCUCUACACCAUUCCCUGCCCUCCAGCCUUUUCCAAGCAGCAGUUGAUGAACUUCUCCUGUGUGAUCCUUUCCAGCGGGAAUUAAUGAGGGUGAUUGACGUGGAGGGUAGAUGUGGGCAGGAG